ACCUUCUAUGACUUGAUCUUUUUACUCAGAACUGGAACUUGUGCAUCACUGAAUAAUUCUUCAUUGCAGCAGCUAGUGUUUUCUUGUCCUGAUACACUUGUCCUUCUUCAAUACAUGUUUGUGUACAUUCAAUUAUUAUUUCACUUUGAUAUUCCUCCAUAGCUGGUGAGGAUGGAUUUCUUCAAUACAUGUUUGCAUACAUUCAGUUAUUAUUUCACUUUGAUAUUCCUCUAU
rnacentral:lncRNA from 1 species